UCGCAUCUGUGCAUGCAGCAUAUCAAUAAGCGGAGGAAAAGAAACUAACAAGGAUUCCCUCAGUAACGGCGAGUGAAGCGUGAAGAGCUCAAAUUUGAAAUCUUAAAGGUCUACCUUGCACGAAUUGUAGUUUAAAGAAGUGUCUUCUGUGACGUAUCGGUAUAUAAGUUCUUUGGAAUAGGACAUCACUAGAGGGUGAGAAUCCCGUCUAUGAUUGCGAUUUGUAGCUUUGUGAUACACUUUCAAAGAGUCGGGUUGUUUGGGAAUGCAGCCCAAAACGGGAGGUAAAUUUCUUCUAAGGCUAAAUAUUGGCGAGAGACCGAUAGCGAACAAGUACCGUGAGGGAGAGAUGAAAAGAACUUUGAAAAGAGAGUUAAAUAGUACGUGAAAUUGUCAAAAGGGAAGCGUUUAACACCAGUGUUGUUUUCUGAAAAUCAACCUCUGUUAGCUUUAUGCAUGUUUGUUUAGACCUAAUCAGCUAUCUUGCAUGUUCUAUUGUUUGCAGUGGUGCACUUUUCAGUUUACAGGUCAACAUCAGUUUUUUUUACCGUAAAAAAGUUAAAGAAAGGUAGCUCAUGGCUCCGGUCGUGAGUGUUAUAGUCUUUUUCCUAUGCGGUAGGAGAGACUGAGGUCUGCAGUGUAGGCUAUUUGGCUAGAUACUCAGGUGCUAUGUGAUACCAUUUCAUAAACAACUUGUUGAUUAUGUUUUGUCUAUUGCAUACUCGCUUGUACUAUCAUACCUACGCUUAGGAUGUUGAAGUCAUCGUAUCGCGC
rnacentral:rRNA from 1 species